rnacentral:rRNA from 1 species
ACUCCUACGGGAGGCAGCAGUGGGGAAUAUUGCACAAUGGGCGCAAGCCUGAUGCAGCCAUGCCGCGUGUAUGAAGAAGGCCUUCGGGUUGUAAAGUACUUUCAGCAGUGAGGAAGGCGGGUACGUUAAUAGCGUAUUCGUUUGACGUUAGCUGCAGAAGAAGCAACCGGCUAACUCCGUGCCAGCAGCCGCGGUAAUACGGAGGGUGCGAGCGUUAAUCGGAAUUACUGGGCGUAAAGCGCAUGCAGGUGGUUUGUUAAGUCAGAUGUGAAAGCCCGGGGCUCAACCUCGGAAUUGCAUUUGAAACUGGCAGACUAGAGUACUGUAGAGGGGGGUAGAAUUUCAGGUGUAGCGGUGAAAUGCGUAGAGAUCUGAAGGAUACCGGUGGCGAAGGCGGCCCCCUGGACAGAUACUGACACUCAGAUGCGAAAGCGUGGGGAGCAAAC